GUUCAGCGUGGUGAAGAAAUAACAUAUGCUGAUCCUACAUUCUACAAAAGAAAAGCUCACAAAUCGAGAGUUCAAGAGGAGGAAGAUGUGGUGUAUGCAGGAGUCGCCAUGAGACACUGAUCAAACUGAUUCUUUUGAGAGGCAGCCAUCUUUCUUUUCUCGUCGUUAAACUUGCAAAAGUGGAUUCGAACACAACUUAAGUGCACUUUUGCCAUUUGCUUUAGACCAUGUGCUUAGAUCCUUAAAAUAGGGCCUAAGAUCUUCCUCUGGUCACAUAUAUAUUUGGAUUGUACCUUUACCUAAUUUUUUUUAAAAUUUCUUUUUUAGCAGUUUUAUCUAAUAUCAGAAACUCUACUAUGCCAUUCAUUGUGAUAUAAAGAUGUAGACAUUUUUAAUUAAAUAUUACUUUUUGUUUCAAAAAUAUAUAUAUAAAUGAAGAAAAGCAUGAAAAUGAAAAAAAAAGUGUAACGUCAAAAUCUCCAACCAUUUUGUCAGCCAUUUUGACGGAAUACAUCCGUCAGAUACUAAGUGGCAAUGGAUCUAUUAUUAGGGGUGGCCCACCGUGGGUAAUAUAUAAGUAUUUUAUUAUACUAAUAAUAUAAAUAGUAGUAUAAUUAGCCUAAAUAUUGCAAUACUUUGCACUACAAUAUAGAUUUUUUUUCUUCCACCACUAUCUAUUAGCGCAGUGGCCGUCAGCUAACUCUUCACGUCACGUCGCACUUAUUAUUAGCAUCAAGAAAUAGCCUAUAAAAGAGGAAGAUAAAGAAAUUAAGAAUCAUAGAUCCAUAAACCAUUGUUAGGUCUGGUUUGGGGGAGGUUGCGUCCUCCACAGAGUGUACUGUGCAAACUGAUUGAACAUGUUUGAGGUGAGACAUGCUGAUAAUUUGGUGGAUAAGCCACUAGGCAUUGUUUAGUGCCAGUUUUUGCUGCUCACAGCAUUUUUAUUUUGUUUUUAGCACCAAUGUAUGUUGCAUUAAGUUUUUUUUUUUGUACUUCAUGUGGACUGCACAUUGUGAGCUGCUGCUUCAAAAAUAAACCACCACUGGCAUUUUGAAA